rnacentral:misc_RNA from 1 species
GUACACUUUUUGCCACAUUUGUCAUAAAAAAAUCUCAAAUGACAUCAACACCGUGGGAAAACGCAGAUCGCACUUCGGUGCUAACAGAUAGUAUAACGACGAUUAUGACACAUUCGACCACAAAAGUGUUCUAAGAAGCUUAGCACAUUGUGAAGAAUUAUCACACCCGUGUAAAAUAUCGUUCGACAAACAUUAGAACUUAUGACGAAUACCGGGAACGAGGCGGAAGAUUUGUCGCGUGAACUUGUAACGGUAUGGCUUUUAAAUCAGCGGAUUUCAAAAGCAAUAUGAUAUGAUCUUUUAUUUUAAUAUUCAAAUCGCUUAUACAAUUCAUUUAAUUGUUUAAUAUAAAUUCAAGUUGAAGUGGCAGUGGGCUAGUCAUCUGUGUCGCAGGACCGGUGGCCGUUGG